rnacentral:lncRNA from 12 species
CCAGCACCCAUUCCUGAGGCUGGCAGCGUGAAAGAUGUUGGCUAAGGGCUGAUUUGGCGGUGGGGAGGGCUGCAUACCAACCAGCUCAUACUUGUCUCUGUGUCCUUUCCGGUGUUCUCCCCGCUGUCUUUGCUGAUUGACUUGCCCUGGCCAUCAUCACAGUUGCUAAAUACUUUCGUUAUUAUUCUAGGAUAACAUUGUCUGACUUUUAAACGGGUCGUCAACAUGCGAUGGGAAUAAAGUGAGGAUUCUGACUGUACAUGUCCUCUGAUAGAUGUUUAUUCAGGUCGAGAGAAGCAGGACAUUGUUAUCAUAAUGAUGAGCUCAGGGGGACACCAGGGGCAUUGGCUUUUGUCAACAGGACUUUGGAUAUGAACAAAACACACGCAAUCAUUUCCCACCAGGAUAUGACAUUCUGGACCAACCCUGAAUGUGGGCACAUGUG